rnacentral:rRNA from 1 species
UGAUCCAUGGCUCAGAUUGAACGCUGGCGGCAGGCCUAACACAUGCAAGUCGAGCGGUAGAGAGAAGCUUGCUUCUCUUGAGAGCGGCGGACGGGUGAGUAAUGCCUAGGAAUCUGCCUGGUAGUGGGGGAUAACGUUCGGAAACGAACGCUAAUACCGCAUACGUCCUACGGGAGAAAGCAGGGGACCUUCGGGCCUUGCGCUAUCAGAUGAGCCUAGGUCGGAUUAGCUAGUUGGUGAGGUAAUGGCUCACCAAGGCGACGAUCCGUAACUGGUCUGAGAGGAUGAUCAGUCACACUGGAACUGAGACACGGUCCAGACUCCUACGGGAGGCAGCAGUGGGGAAUAUUGGACAAUGGGCGAAAGCCUGAUCCAGCCAUGCCGCGUGUGUGAAGAAGGUCUUCGGAUUGUAAAGCACUUUAAGUUGGGAGGAAGGGCAUUAACCUAAUACGUUAGUGUUUUGACGUUACCGACAGAAUAAGCACCGGCUAACU